GAAAUGCGAUAAGUAAUGUGAAUUGCAGAAUUCAGUGAAUCAUCGAAUCUUUGAACGCACAUUGCGCCCGCCAGUAUUCUGGCGGGCAUGCCUGUUCGAGCGUCAUUUCAACCAUCAAGCCCCCGGCUUGUGUUUGGGACCUGCGGCUGCCCGCAGGCCCUGAAAAACAGUGGCGGGCUCGCUGUCACACCGAGCGUAGUAGCAUACAUUCUCGCUCAGGGCGUGCUGCGGGUUCCGGCCGUUAAACGACCUUCAUAACCCAAGGUUGACCUCGGAUCAGGUAGGAAGACCCGCUGAACUUAAGC
rnacentral:misc_RNA from 1 species